AAUAAGUGCAGUUUUGCACUGUUCAUAUCUAACGUUUGACCGUUCGUCUUAUUUAAUUUUUUUAUGAUUAGUACUUUUUUUUUUUAUUAGAUGAUAACAUAUGAAUUGUACUUUAUGUGUGACUAUUUUUUAAUAUUUUUUUUUAAAAAAGACGGACGGUCAAACAUUAGACACGAUACCCACGGCUGCACUUAUU
rfam:Oryza rufipogon genomic scaffold, chr03